UACGGUAGGGUGCGAGCGUUGUCCGGAUUUAUUGGGCGUAAAGGGCUCGUAGGCGGCGUGUCGCGUCGGGGAGUGAAAGCCCGUUGCUUAACGGCGGGUUGGCUUUCGGUACGGGCAUGCUGGAGUGCGGCAGGGGAGACUGGAAUUCCUGGUGUAGCGGUGGAAUGCGCAGAUAUCAGGAGGAACACCGGUGGCGAAGGCGGGUCUCUGGGCCGUUACUGACGCUGAGGAGCGAAAGCGUGGGGAGCGAACAGG
rnacentral:rRNA from 1 species